GGGCUCGUAGCUCAACGGUCAGAGCGUCCGGCUCAUAACCGGUUGGUUCCGGGUUCGAAUCCCAGCGAGCCCA
rnacentral:tRNA from 1 species